rnacentral:rRNA from 1 species
AUGAACGCUGGCGGCGUGCCUAACACAUGCAAGUCGAGCGAGAAUUUAUGGAAUGAACCUUCGGGUGAGUGAAGUAAAGGAAAGCGGCGGACGGGUGAGUAACGCGUGGGUAACCUGCCCCAUACAAAGGGAUAGCCACUGGAAACGGUGAUUAAUACCCUAUAACCCAUUAGUAUCGCAUGAUACAGAUGGCAAAGAUUUAUCGGUAUGGGAUGGACCCGCGUCUGAUUAGCUAGUUGGUAAGGUAACGGCUUACCAAGGCGACMAUCAGUAGCCGACCUGAGAGGGUGAUCGGCCACACUGGAACUGAGACACGGUCCAGACUCCUACGGGAGGCAGCAGUGGGGAAUAUUGCACAAUGGGCGCAAGCCUGAUGCAGCAACGCCGUGUGAGUGAAGAAGGCCUUCGGGUUGUAAAACUCUGUCCUAAGGGAAGAAACAAAUGACGGUACCUAAGGAGGAAGCCCCGGCUAACUACGUGCCAGCAGCCGCGGUAAUACGUAGGGGGCAAGCGUUAUCCG